AGUCGUAACAAGGUUUCCGUAGGUGAACCUGCGGAAGGAUCAUUACAAAUCCAAAACAAUGACCCUGUUGAAAUGUGUUCUUCCCUUGGAAGGAGAGAGAGAGAGAGAGCAGAGUAUUAUGCAUAUAUUAUUUUGAUAUGUGCAUAUAUUUCUCCUCACCACCUCCCUCCCCAAGGGAAGGUUUAAUCUUAAAAACUCUUUUGAUGGACUAGCCAAUGUGAUAACAUUUUUAAUGUUUAAACAACUUUUAACAAUGGAUCUCUUGGCUCUU
rnacentral:misc_RNA from 1 species